UCUCUUUCACACUGAGGAUGCAUCAUCGUCUUCCUUGCUUCUCUAUCAGAUUUAGGUUAAUAUCGUUUUGUUCCAGAAUCUUCCGCCACCACCGCUGAUGAAUAUCUCAUUGAAAUUGUCGUUGGCUUCAACAACAUUGACGCCGUAACUGAUGGUCGCGAAUGAAAGUUAAUAGAAUGAACUGUUCCCCUUCAAGCAAGAGUUCUCCUUGGAUGAACGCCUCCGUGAAUCGCAAGACAUCUUAGCCAAGUAUACCGACAUAAUUUCCGUAAUGGUUGAAAGAUAUUCAAAGACUGAUCUACCUGAGAUGGAGAAGAAGAAGCUGGAAGGCGUAAGCUAAUACCCAUUUCAGUUAUUGGGUUGCUGCAAGUUCUUACUAUCAAACUUGAAAUCACUGUUUGUUAUUUGAGAGUUUGUUCUAUUCUGAUCUGAUGAUGUUUUCUCAAUCUGUGAUCGAAUUGAGAAAAGUCGACCUCGUUCUCUUCAUUUUCUACUAGGAAAAUCUCUAUAAGCUUGAGGAAAUUCUCAAUUGUGACGGCGGUUGGUAAGGGGAAGAAGAAAUCCAAUUCUCAUAGCUUCGUCUCCAGACCAGAUGAAGCUGUCGGUUUUUUUCCGAAGCUCUUUUGCUCAAAGAGAAGAAAGUUCAUGAAGAUGGAACAAUUCUCCCUAAAUUCGCAGAUGAUGAUGAAAGAGAACUUUUUAAACAACUGAAUUUUUAGCUGGAAAGUGAUCCUGGACUGAAGAGGAUGAGACACUGUCAAGUUGUAUACUUGAUUCAUGAAGAUCACUAUGAAGAGGUGGAGAAUGUAAACUCCAAAGUCAGAGAGAAUACGGAUUAGAACAAUCAUUUUUCUACUGGAUGAGUUUGACUUGUUUACACAGGGUAAACAAAAGUUUUUUAUAGCUUGUUGGACGUAUUGUAAUAUAUAUCAUCACAAGUUGUUGUUAUUGGUCUAUGUUGUCUUACUGCUCUUGGAGAAGAUGGUAACAUUUCGUUUCUCACAUCGAAAAUAGUUAUUCUUUCCCCCUCGAAUGAAGACUCUUUAAGAUUAGUGGACCAUGUUCUUUUACUUCCCAAGGACUCAAGUUUGUCUUCCCACUAUGUAGAACAAAUUAAUCUCAAGCUUUUAGUUUUGAAACUUAAUACUUGAUCUUGUCUGGUAACUAUGCUCAAAAUUGAGGUGCCUCAUUUUGAAAUA